GUCCACGCCCUAAACGAUGGGUACUAGAGAGUAGAUGCUCCGAUGUGUUUACUCUCGAAGCAAAAGUGUUAAGUACCCCGCCUGGGGGAGUAUGGUCGCAAGGCUGAAACUCAAAAGGAAUUGACGGGGGCUCACACAAGCGGUGGAGCAUGUGGCUUAAUUCGAGGCUACGCGAAAGAACCUUAUCCUAGGCUUGACAUGCAGGGAUGCCUCCGGGGAAACUCGGUCGGCUGCCGCAAAGGUGAAACCUGUACAGCUGCUGCAUGGCUGUCGU
rnacentral:rRNA from 1 species